rnacentral:precursor_RNA from 15 species
AUUCGUAUUCUCAGUUUUUCGACGUCCACGUGGCACAAUCUGCGUACGUAGAAAGAUCAAAAAGUCACUUCUAUGUACAAAUGUUGCGCUGCCUGGCACAGUGAAUGAAUUUAUGGGUUAAAA